CGAGCAACGCUCAUGUCGAAGAGGCAGUGAAAGAGGCAUCUAAGUGGCUCCAUUUCCUCUCUGUCUUGGCAAGAAAUGGGUUCCUGUUGAAGUUCUUGUUGAUGUGUAUAGCACCCUCAUUAGGCCGUGCCUGGAGCCAGGGAAGUGUGCUGCUGGUGGGCUCAGAAAAGGACAGGGUUCAGAAAAGAACCACCAGAAUGGAGAUUUCUACAUCUUCCAGAUUUACGGAAGCGGUGGGAGCAGGCCAGAGUAAGGGUGAGAGAACGGGCUGUCCAGCUGUCACUUGUGCAUGUAAGAAAAAAUAGAUUAAGAAAUUCCUCUGAUUAAUUCAUUGUAGUGUGAUGUUUGUUUAUAUACUUUACUGUUUUGUAGUAUAUUUUGUAGGUUCUGCAAAUUUCAAUCUUUAAGGUCCGAAUGUUUUGAAACUAAACUAAACUGACUGCCAUACAGUCUACAGUUAAUACAACAUCCACUCUAACUGUCCCACAGACAGAGACAAUAAAACACCAUCAACACGUAAUAAACAUUAAACCAACACAAACAUCAACAACAACAACAUCUCACUGCUGUUGGAAUAAAACGCCAUCUCUGUGGUUUAUUAUGUAGAUGAUUUACAGUAAAUUGGGUAUCUUUGUAAAACCUUAUUGUUUUUGCACCUUUUCCUGCUGACGACUCUGAUGUUACAGGUGUAAGAAUGUGUUUAAGCCCCGCCCACUCCAUAUAAAUGGAGUUUAACAGGACUGUGAAGCUUCCUGUUUGGUACUGAUACGGUAUGUGAUGGUCCUCAUGGCUCUGUUGCUCCGUGUGAUCAGUGUGCUGUCAGUGAGUUUGAGCUCUCAGGCUGGUUUAACUGUAGAAGCAGAACCUGGUGAUGAUGUCACUCUCUGGUGUAAACACAGUCUGACUAAAUCAGCUCAUUUAUUCUGGCUCAAGCAAACAAACAAUUCAGCACCAGUUUAUAUUGCAUGCAAAUAUUAUUCAUUAACAUUAUCCCCUCAUCCCUGUUUCUUCAUCCCUGAGAGUGAGAGGUUAGUGAUGGGAGUGAACUCCACGUUCUCCUCUCUCACUAUAACUGCAGUUACUCUCUCUGACUCAGGACUCUAUUACUGCAGCACACUGAGGGAAAAAUACAUGAUCUUCAGCACCACAACACAUUUACAGAUCAGAGAUGACUGUAGAUCUGAGUUCUUCAUGCUGGUUCUGCUCAGUGCUCUUCUGUUCCUGCUCUUCAUCAUGCUGAAGUACAGAGAACAGCUCAGAGAGGAUUCUAACUCUAAAGUGAAAGAAGAGAAAGAGGAUGGUGAAAUGAUGAACUACGCUGCUCUGCACUUCAAGAAAAACAGGAGAUCACACAGACGAGCAGAAGCAGAAGAUCUACAUGUCGUAUUUUCUUCUGUAGGGCAGUAACGUCCUGUGAGCUACACUGUUAGAUUUACUCCAGACACGUGCAGCAGUGGUUUAAAACCCAUCGUACCUUCAUGAAUAUUUAAAGUAACUCCUUUAAGUUGUGAUUCUGAAGGAAGCUCAUCAACCAUCUCCAGCACCUCAUCUGAAUGAUCAGUUACAGUUUACAGCACUGAUGAAACACCUCUGUUUUACAUGUACAAACACUAGAGGCCAGUGAUGUUUCACUGUUACCCUGUCAACAACCAUCGCAGCCUGUUUAUUCACAACUAGCUGAUUGGAAUCUAUGUGGAAACGUCUUCUCCUGCUGCAAUGAUGACCAUGUCUUACAGUGAGCAGGGCUGAGCUCUUCCAUACUCUGAAUGUAGUGCCUGAUUUGAUGAACCUGCAGAGGUGUGUGUGUGUGUGUGAGUUUAUUUUAUUUCUUGUAUUCAUUAGAUAUGUAUUUAUUCUUCAUUUCUUUUUUUAUUCAGAAAACUUAAAGAUAUUACAGUGAUGUUAGUAAAUGAAAAUGGGCAUACAGAAUGUUGGAACUGCUGAUCCAGCUUUUCCCCAGAGUUCUCCACUAAACCAUGUCCGGUCUGUUUCUGUGGGCAUCACUGUCAAUACAGUAAAUAAAUACAGACUCUAUUAAAUACAGUGUAAAGCUCAUAAUAGACGAGAUGCAGUUAAAAUACUGCCAAAGCGCUGACAGUGCCUUUGUUUAGUGCUUGUUUUGGUCUGUGUCUCCUCCCCUGUCCUUCCUCCUCGUCAUCUGUCUCACCUGUGUAUUGUCUGCAGCCCCGCCCUCUCAGUAGCCCCAGGUGGUUUCGGUUUUCUUCUUAUGUAUUUGUGACCCUGGUUGGUUGUCCCGUGUUUGGGUUUGUUAGGUCCUGUUUUCCCCGUUUGUGCUUUGUUUUCUCUCAGUACUUUAUUAUCAGCGUUUUCUGUAAAUUUGUAUAUUUUGUAGUGAACUUCACUGAAAGAAUUUUUUUUUCUUUUAUCCUGCAUCAUUGCAUCUCUCAAUAUUACAAUUUGGGUGAAUGAUGUAGAUUUUAGUACCAACAUAUUUAUACAGAUGGAAUUUCAUAACGUUCGCCAAAAUAUGCACAACGGCUUAUUUACUCAUCAUUGCUUCUCUAAUACAGCUAAUCUGUCCUCACAGCUCAAUAAAAUGUGGAGAAAUAAUUGAGAAUAUUUAGUUUAUUUUAGACUGGUGGUCUGUCCAGGGUGUUUCCAGCCUUCUGCCCAAUGACUGGUGGGAAACGCUUCAGACCCACUUCCAAUUAGAUUCACAUUUUUUUUCUGUAAUAUCUCUAUAAUUCCUGAAGAUAAUAUUAAAUAAAGAAUACAUUUCUGUUUGUUAUUAUGUUGAAUUAUGUUGAGGUCUUGUAUCUAUUAUAAAUUGUUGACUUUAGAUAGAGGAUAAAUGAGGUUUUUCAUUUUUAUUAUUGAUGUCAAUUGUUUUUAUAGGUCAAUAUGUGCUGAAAUAAAGAAAGAAUUGUUUUUA